rnacentral:piRNA from 1 species
UAGCCCAAAGAGAUAAAUGACCCCAUCC